AUAAAUUUUUAACCCCAAUAUAUAAAGAUAACAGUUGAGUUAAUAUUAUACCGUUUAGGUUCAAAAAGUAUUUCCGACACAAGUGCAUGUGUGUUUGUGUAAGGAUGUGUUACAGGUGUGUGUUUGGGAAAGGGGGGUGCUCUAACUGUUAGCACCCUCUUCACCUCAUCCAUUUUUUUCAUACAUAUUCUUUAAAAAGUAAUUUAUCUAGACUUAAAAAUCAUAUGCUCUAUUUCUAUCUUUCAAAAUGUCAACUUGGAUUUGGAUUUUUUCCGGCUAAAUAUGGUCCGUAGCUUUUCUCAGGAUCGGUUUUGUUUUUAUCGGACGAAACUCUACGUCAUGUUUGACGCCAUCAGCUGUUAACAGAAAUUGAAAACACAGAGGAAAAAGGAUUUAUCAAGUCUAUGUUAAUACUGGAACUCGGUAUCACAUCUGACUCGCACUUCUGAAAUGGAUCAAAUAGGACUUUGUCGUCGAGACUCGGAAGAACCCAGCUGCCUAACGUAUAAUGCCAGUGGAACUCAAAACAGAAAAGAUACUUGUAUGCAAGACAUGGAGAAAAGAGCAGACUUCAGCCUCUAUAUACCAUUCCUUGGUGCCUCCUUGAAUUGAUGUUUUUCAGGAAAACCAUGCAGGAAUAAAGGC